rnacentral:rRNA from 1 species
UCCUACGGGGGGCAGCAGUGGGGAAUUUUGCGCAAUGGGGGAAACCCUGACGCAGCAACGCCGCGUGAGUGAUGAAGGCCUUCGGGUCGUAAAGCUCUGUCAGUAGGGAAGAAAAGAAUGUGGUUAAUACCCACAUUCCCUGACGGUACCUACAAAGGAAGCACCGGCUAACUCCGUGCCAGCAGCCGCGGUAAUACGGAGGGUGCAAGCGUUGUUCGGAUUUAUUGGGCGUAAAGCGCGUGUAGGCGGUUUCUUAAGUCUGAUGUGAAAGCCCCGGGCUCAACCCGGGAAGUGCAUUGGAUACUGGGAGACUUGAAUACGGGAGAGGGUAGUGGAAUUCCUAGUGUAGGAGUGAAAUCCGUAGAUAUUAGGAGGAACACCGGUGGCGAAGGCGGCUACCUGGACCGAUAUUGACGCUGAGACGCGAAAGCGUGGGGAGCAAACAGGAUUAGAUACCCGGGUAGUCCG